UUUCCCCGCACAAAUUCCAUGUGUUUUCUACUUCGUUUUGUGGAAGACGGAGAAGCCAGCGAAGAAGAGGAGGGGGGAGGAGAACGAAAGAAACAAGAAAGGAAUUCCAAGAGCAGUCGGUUUCAAUUAAUCGAUCGCCCUCGUUGUUUCUAUCAUAAGGGCUUGAAAGAAGGAUUACCAUGAGAUUCAAGAAGGGGAAUAAGGUGGAGGUUUGGAGCAGGAGGGAGCUUGCAUCAGGCUCAUGGUGGAGUGCCGAGAUCAUCUCGGGUAAUGGGCAUAACUAUUCUGUGAGAUAUGAUGGGUAUCCAACAGACAGCAGUGUGGCGGUGGAUAGAGUGCCAAGAAAGGCCAUCAGACCCUGCCCUCCACCUGUGGAAGGCCUGAAGGAUGUGAAGUCUGGAGAUGUUGUCGAGGUGUUUGACAAUAAUUCAUGGAAGCUUGGUGAAGUUUUGAUGGUUGUCGAUAAGAAAUACUGUUCUGUGAGGCUCAUUGGAUCCUCUAGGGAGUUCAGAACCCAUAAUUCUCACAUAAGGAGACAUCUUUCUUGGCAGGACGAGCAGUGGGUGGCGAUUCAUAAGGAUUCUGGAAAACAACAUGGUGGAAUUCUAAACAGUUCAUCAAGAGGAGAGAAGUUGGGUUACCGUAAGCCUCAGUCAUGUGUAGAGAUGGUUAAUUCUUCUGGAAAGAGCCGUUUUCCUAUUGGAAGUCAUGAUUUUCCUGAGAAUACAAGAUGGGUUCUCCCAAGAGGCAUGAAGAAAAGGCCAUUGGAUUUAUCUAUUCCUUCAGAGAUGUGCAAUGAUGGUAGAAGAAAGACAAGGGCAGUCGAGAAAGAUGGGAAGUGUCACAGAAUGAUUACCAAGCAUCCAAUACAGUGUUUCGAAAAGGGCCAAAAUUGGAGGCUCCCAAACUUUGAUUCCAUAGGUCUGUGAUGAUGGUGGAGUUGUCAUGUCUUUUACACUGCGAACAGUGUGGCAACACUUCCAUCUUAUUCUUAUGUCAGUAUAUCUGAUUAUUUGAUACUUCUAAUUCUGUUAACUCCUUCUAUUUCAGGCUUACUUUAUUUCUGCCUGUAAUACAUCCAUGAUAGAAGUUUAUGAAAAAUAUUUUAACUAAGUUUUCAGUGUUUAGUUGAAACUCUUUUUUUUUUACUAUUUAAUAUUUGAUCUCUGAGGUGGAUGCAGAACGCUUGUUAUUAGGAUGCAUAGUUAUGCACCAUAACAUGUGUUUAUAACUGUAGGCUAUUUGAAAUAUCUCUUGCUGCUUGCAACAAGAGAUAUUUAAUCUGCUUUACAAGCAAUUUUAGCUUGUUGGAAAUAUCUCUUGCUGCUGGCGACAUGCUGGAUGUAUUAAGCUAUGAACAUUAACACAUGGCACUUCAUGCUGAACGUAAUAUACAUGGAAAUUUUAGAACUAUAAAAUUGGGAAUGACAUAAUAUUUAUGUUGGUACAAUGUUGAUGAAUCAUUUUAGUUGUGUUUUAUAGUAUAUCUGAAUGAAGCUUGGUUUUAUUUUAGUUAUUUUAUUAUAGUUUCAAAACUACAAGAUCUGCCUGUGUUGCAUACUCAAAUAUAAGGGUCUUCCAUGCCAAGAAAUGUAAUUUCAGGUAACAGACCCGUAUUGGUACAUGACCGAUACAGGUCAGGUCCAUGUCAAGCUUAUCAAAAUAUGGUAUGUCAGCAUGUACUGUAAUACUAUUUAUGGGGAAGAAAAAGAAGGAAAAAGAAGAAGCCAGAAGGAACAAAGGAGAAGAAGAAUGAUGGAAGGAGGAAGAAAAGAGGAGGGGAAGGAGAAGAAGUACUGGUCCAGUGGUGUUGGACGUCAGACUGGUUUGCAGCACAGGUACAACUCCUACGCAUGUCUGUGAGUCAUGAAAAAUCAUGCUGGAUAGUCCCAAGUGAGAUAAAAGCUUUAUUAUUCUUUGAUUUAGCUAAAAGCAUAAUCUCAAGUGAAAACCUUAAUUUUAAGUGCUUUAUAGCCAUAAUUGGGUGGGACACAGUAAGACUUCUUCAGGAAAGUAAGCUGCAAAAAUAUUGGCUAAUGUAAGUAGCUAAGCUUUCGAGAUAUGUGCUUCUGUUGUCACCGUGUAAAAGGAAUCAUAUUGAAGGAAUAACAUAUGGGAAACUUAUUUUUGGAGAGUUAUUCGUAUUUAGUAAUGGGGCAUCCCAGAAAUCUAAAGAUGGUCCAUUGCUGUUGUCAUUUUCGAAGUUCUAAAAUAUGUCUCAAAGUGGGAUAAUUUCAAUUGAAAAGUUGUAUAUACAAGGACACAAUCAUUAAAGAUUUUAAAGAGAUUCAUUAUUUUAUUGUAGUCUUCAGGUGCUAAGAUAAUAUUGAUGGGGCAAGCCACAAAGUAGUGCUAAAAGACAAAUCUAGAGGUCAGGUCAUACAUUUACUGAGGACUCUGAUAUGAUGAAAGAGAAGUUGAAAGAGAAAUAUCUUCCACUAUGGUAUCAGAUCAGACUAUCGGUGAAAUCUAGAUAUCGUGACACUGGGCUUGGGGCUGAAAUCCAAUGGAAUGCUGUCACAUGUUUUUGAUUCCUUGGAGCUUUAGUUAGCCUUAGAAGAUAAUAGCUAUCUCAGGUCACCCUAGAUUAGGAGACCGCCUCAGUACGUCAAUCUUUGAACUUGAAAGGAUGUCUGUUUACACUCAGUCUGUCCUCCAAGCAAGGGACAAAUAUGGUUCAUUGACUACCACUACUAUAAGCUAAAGCUACUAUGCCUAUGAAUGCCCUAAGAAUAACUUGGCUAUUCAUCCUGAAGAAAUUAUGAAGAUGGAACUAUGGAGAGAGUGUCCCACAUCUAUGAUGAAUUGGACAACAAUGAGGACCUACAUGAGUUUGAGGAUGAAACCCAACUUUAGAUCAUGAGGUGUGUUUGCUUUACCACACUAAAAGAGGAUAAUUUAAAUGAAUCUUUGUUUUGCAUACCUGCAGCAGAGGUGAUGAUAGAAGCUGCAAUUUUAUUAGUUAUCACUAAUGGAGGUAAUACCUGAUGUGGUGUUUAAAAGUGCUUUUUAGAGGAUAAAAAUUGAAGUCUUAGUUUCCUAGAUUUUAUUCAUCUAAGGUUGUUUAGGUGGACUCCACUAUGUUUGUUAGCCAAUACAUCGCUUGCUCCAAAUUUAGUUUGCCAAUGUUUAUGAAAUAUACUCCUGCAGAAGCAGGGCAGAUCUUACUUGGGAGGCCAUGACUAAAGAUCUCUGUGACUCGCAGUGGUAGGCAUACCACCUAUGUUUUCAAACAUGAUGGAAAGAAAAUGGUGUAUAAUCCUAGUAAGCCUAGAGUGAAGGCAUCCAAUGAAUUCUAUGCACCUGGUUGAAACCAUGCAUCCUUUAUGUGUCCUCAUUUUGAAGCAGUAUGAAUAAGGAAAUAUGGAACACACUCUUGUUUAUGCCUUAGCAACCAAGUCAAAAGCCAACCCACCGUAGAACCUAAAUUGUCUUUUAAAGUUAGGUUCAUACUGAGUUCAGGAUCUUAUAUCUAUAAAGUUAUUUGAUGAUCUUCCACUUAUGAAUGACGUGUAUCUCAACUCGUUCCAUUACUAAUUUUGCCAUACUAUCGGAUGAAUCCCGAUGAGUACCUGAAGUAAAGGAGGCAAGUAGAUGAGCUCAUGUGCCGUUUCAGCAUUGUUCACUCCAAAAGAUGGGAAUUGGAGGAUGCCUACACAAAAUGGAGGAGGAUGUGCCAUUUCCUCUGAUUAUUUGGUUCUUGCGGAAUGCUGGUAUAGCCAUUUCCAUUGUUUCAGAACAUGGUACAAAUCAUGUGGACAUGGUUUUCCUGUUAACAUAUAAUAACAUGUAAGAACCUGGAACACCUGUUUUCUAAUGAGUGAAUCUUGUAGGGAUCUGGUUCAGUUUUUGGCAUGUUAUCUGAAGAUCAUUGGGAAAGUUGUGAUAUGGAGAUCGAGAAUAUUUUGGAUAUGCUGAUUGCUUGAGUAAGUUGGCUUGAGCUAGUAGCAGUUGAUGCCCUCUUCUGCUUGAUAAUGUUAAAUUAUGGAGUUUUCGAUCAAGUUGAGUCGAUCUGGUUGUCGAGCAUCCAAGUGAGAAAAAGAUAUUACUGAUGACCUGUAGAGAGGUACAUGUAUCCCAGGGAAAUGUGCACAGUUUCCUCUCUUUCAGGCCGACUUGAAGCUUGUGGUUGGCUUGAAUCAGUUGGUGUUCUAUGCUUCCACGUUGAGGUUUAAGUCAAAAUCUAUGUGGUGUUAAUUUUUUGUAUUAUUUCCAGGUUACCGAAGGCAGCUUUUAGUGUUUGGAUGCUGAUCGAUGGCGAUGAUAUUAUCCUUGGAGAUUGGCUUCAUUGUGGUCAACGCUAGUACUGCGACAGUUAUUGUUGCAGGCGGUGUUGGUCGUAAAGGGGGGCCUCACAUGAGUCCUGUGUUCAUUUAUUCCAUGCAGAUCGACCUCAACUGUGUGGCUCAUUUAUUAUCACUCUCCUGUCAGAGAAAAAGGCAAAGGCAUCUGUAGUCACUGAAAGCUACCAACAGCAUUUGCAUCAAGAUUCCAAGGUGACGAGGCCCUCCGAAUCUGCUGCGUCGUCGCUUUGCUGGGUGGGAUAUGGCGCAUGUGACGGGCGGAGCAUAGUCGUGUGAGGGGCAUGUGGUUGGUGGAUACAUGGGUACACAGAGGCUGCCGUCCUCGGUGAUAUGUCCGCAGCUGCUUCGAGCCGGAGUUGACGAAAGGAAAGAUGGUUGACUUUAUGAGGAUGCAAGGUUCUUUAGUUGAGGUUUUGAAAGUUCUGCAAGAUGAAAACAGUUCACAGCUCUCCUUGAGGUUUGUGUAAAUAUUGAGAAGUCAAAUGCUAUAUUAAGGUUCAAGUCCAAGACGCUAUGAUCACUUGAAGUCGUAUGAGUGUCAGAAGAACAAUGACGAUGGAGAACUGAGCUUGCCUGGUGGAUUGAGAACAUUGGAUGGAGACUGGUUGGUGUCGGCUAAUGGAAAGUGAUUUAAUAUGGUAGACUGACUAUUCAUGGUUUAUGAUAACAACGAGAAUGUAGAACCUGGUUGACAUUUACAAGGAUGGGAAAUGUUGGCGUUGCGACGAUGAAAGUGAUUGAUUGAUUGAUAUGAUUGGACAUAUAAAGAUGGAUCACAAAAUUUGAAGUC